rnacentral:rRNA from 1 species
UAGGGAAUCUUCGGCAAUGGACGAAAGUCUGACCGAGCAACGCCGCGUGAGUGAAGAAGGUUUUCGGAUCGUAAAACUCUGUUGUUAGAGAAGAACAAGGACGUUAGUAACUGAACGUCCCCUGACGGUAUCUAACCAGAAAGCCACGGCUAACUACGUGCCAGCAGCCGCGGUAAUACGUAGGUGGCAAGCGUUGUCCGGAUUUAUUGGGCGUAAAGCGAGCGCAGGCGGUUUCUUAAGUCUGAUGUGAAAGCCCCCGGCUCAACCGGGGAGGGUCAUUGUAAACUGGGAGACUUGAGUGCAGAAGAGGAGAGUGGAAUUCCAUGUGUAGCGGUGAAAUGCGUAGAUAUAUGGAGGAACACCAGUGGCGAAGGCGGCUCUCUGGUCUGUAGCUGACGCUGAGGCUCGAAAGCGUGGGGAGCAAACAGG